rnacentral:rRNA from 1 species
UACACGACCGUACCGCAAACCGACACUGGUGCGCGAGAUGAGUAUUCUAAGGCGCUUGAGAGAACUCAGGAGAAGGAACUCGGCAAAUUGACACCGUAACUUCGGAAGAAGGUGUGCCUUUAGUAGGUGAACCUGUACAAGGGGAGCCCAAUGAGGUUGCAAAAAAUCGGUGGCUGCGACUGUUUAAUAAAAACACAGCACUCUGCAAACACGAAAAUGGACGUAUAGGGUGUGACGCCUGCCCGGUGCUGGAAGAUUAAAUGAUGGGGUGCAAGCUCCUGAUUGAAGUCCCAGUAAACGGCGGCCGUAACAAUAACGGUCCUAAGGUAGCGAAAUUCCUCGUCGGGUAAGUUCCGACCUGCACGAAUGGCGUAACGAUGGCCACACUGUCUCCUCCUGAGACUCAGCGAAGUUGAAAUGUUUGUGAUGAUGCAAUCUCCCCGCGGAAAGACGGAAAGACCCCAUGAACCUUUACUGUAGCUUUGUAUUGGACUUUGAACAGAUCUGUGUAGGAUAGGUGGGAGGCUUUGAAGUGUGGUCGCUAGAUCGCAUGGAGCCAACGUUGAAAUACCACCCUGGUGUGUUUGAGGUUCUAACCUAGGCCCGUAAUCCGGGUCGGGGACAGUGCAUGGUAGGCAGUUUGACUGGGGCGGUCUCCUCCCAAAGCGUAACGGAGGAGUUCGAAGGUACGCUAGGUACGGUCGGACAUCGUGCUAAUAGUGCAAUGGCAUAAGCGUGCUUAACUGCGAGACUGACAAGUCGAGCAGAUGCGAAAGCAGGACAUAGUGAUCCGGUGGUUCUGUAUGGAAGGGCCAUCGCUCAACGGAUAAAAGGUACUCUGGGGAUAACAGGCUGAUACCGCCCAAGAGUUCAUAUCGACGGCGGUGUUUGGCACCUCGAUGUCGGCUCAUCUCAUCCUGGGGCUGUAGCCGGUCCCAAGGGUAUGGCUGUUCGCCAUUUAAAGAGGUACGUGAGCUGGGUUUAAAACGUCGUGAGACAGUUUGGUCCCUAUCUUCCGUGGGCGCUGCAGAUUUGAGGAAGCCUGCUCCUAGUACGAGAGGACCGGAGUGGACACACCUCUGGUGUAUCGGUUGUCACGCCAGUGGCAUUGCCGAGUAGCUAUGUGUGGAAGAGAUAACCGCUGAAAGCUUCUAAGCGGGAAACUCGUUUCAAGAUGAGAUCUGCCGGGGCCUUGAGCCCCCUAAAGAGUCGUUCAAGACCAGGACGUUGAUAGGUCGGGUGUGGAAGCGCAGUAAUGCGUUAAGCUAACCGAUACUAAUUGCUCGUGCGGCUUGACC